AUGUCUUACUGGCAUCUCAAUGUGAACACUGACGACUUAUGCAACAAUAAUCGGCCAACCAUAAUGAUUGAUUGCAUGUGUGCCCUGCCCACCUCUUAUCCUCGCCCGUGCUCCCUUGCAACGCCCUCGAGCCAAACUCACCGCCGCCGCCGCCGCUGCCCUCGUCCACGGCACCUCCGCUCCGCCACCUCGUCCACGGCUUCUCCUUCCCGAGGCCCAUCUGGGACGCCGCCAUCCAUUGCACUGCACGCACCCUGUGGAGACAGAGGAUCGAGGCCUGUCAUUGCAUCUCUGAAGAACUCCCCUGUUUCUGCGUGUCGGACCAAGCUCAGCCGUCGAUUCGCCAUCCAGUGGCUCUCCAAUGAAGAUAACGGUUCGCCACUGGUUUGUCAUCAGAGUCGCAGAUGCUCCAUCCAACGGCUAUCAUCGCCCUGA
rnacentral:rRNA from 1 species